GUGAUUCAGUAGUCAUUAAGAGGUUCUGGAUGAUCUUGUCAGAGUUUUGGUCUUAUGUUAUCAUUGUUCUAGAUGGUUUCCCCAUCUGCAGUAUGUGUUGUAAACCGAUACACUGUCUUUAAGCUUCAGUUAUAGAGACGGGUCUGGACCUAAAAUUCUAAUAAAAAAAUAAUCUGCGUCUAGUGCAUUAGCGGUACUUGCCACUUGAGAAUUGUGU
rnacentral:lncRNA from 1 species